UACCAUGUAGGACUCAUUUCAGCCUGGACAC
rnacentral:piRNA from 1 species